rnacentral:sRNA from 1 species
CUUCUUCAGCCUGCUGCGGGCAGAUCCAGUGAAUAUGCGUAUCUACACCGCCUGCGGUAACGAUCUUACCUUCGGCGGCGAUCACUUCGGUCCCAACGCCUAUCGGGAUCGUUACAUCGGGUUGAAUAUCCGGAUUACCCGCUUUGCCGACCGCGAAGAUCCUGCCAUUUUUUACCCCGAUAUCGGCUUUAACGAUCCCCCAGUGAUCGAUAAUCAGCGCGUUGGUCAGCACCAGAUCCACGCACUCGCUGGCCGGCAUUUGCCCCUGGCCCAUACCAUCGCGGAU